AUGGCCCCAGCUCUCAAGACAAGAAAUGGGAUGAGCCUGGACCAGGAAUUACAAGAGGCAAUGACUGUCACCUGGGGUAAAUGGGCCCUCUCUGAGAGUCACACUCAUAGUUUAGGUCCAGAUGCUGUGAAAGUGCUGCACGCAAUAUGUCAGCAAAGUUGGAAAACUCAGCAGUGGCCACAGGACUGGAAAAGGUCACUUUUCAUUCCAAUCCCAAAGGAGGGCAGUGCCAAAGAAUGCUCAAACUACCACACAAUUGUACUCAUCUCACAUGCUAGCAAAGUAAUGCUCAAAAUUCUCCAAGCCAGGCUUCAGCAAUAUGUGAACCGUGAACUUCCAGAUGUUCAAGCUGGUUUUAGAAAAGGUAGAAGAACCAGAGAUCAAACUGCCAACAUCUGCUGGAUCAUGGAAAAAGCAAGAGAGUUCCAGAAAAACAUCUAUUUCUGCUUUAUUGACUAUGCCAAAACAUUUGACUGUGUGGAUCACAAUAAGCUGUGGAAAAUUCUGAAAGAGAUGGGAAUACCAAACCACCUGACCUGCCUCUUGAGAAACCUGUAUGCAGGUCAGGAAGAAACAGUUAGAACUGGACAUGGAACAGCAGGCUGGUUCCAAAUAGGAAAAGCAGUAGGUCAAGUCUGUAUAUUGUCACCCUGCUUAUUUAACUUAUAUGCAGAGUACAUCAUGAGAAACACUGGGCUUGAGGAAGCACAAGCUGGAAUCGAGAUUGCCGGGAGAAAUAUCAGUAACUUCAGAUAUGCGGAUAACACCACCCUUAUGGCAGAAAGUGAAGAAGAACUAAAGAGCCUCUUGAUGAAAGUGAAAGAGGAGAGUGGAAAAGUUGGCUUAAAGCUCAACAUUCAGAAAACUAAGAUCAUGGCAUCCGGUCCCAUCACUUCAUGGCAAAUAGAUGGGGAAACAGUGGAAACAGUGGCUGACUUUAUUUUUCUGGGCUCCAAAAUCACGGUAGAUGGUGAUUGCAGCCAUGAAAUUAAAAGACGCUUGUUCCUUGGAAGGAAAGUUAUGACCAACCUAGACAGCAUAUUUAAAAGCAGAGACAUUACUUUGCCCACAAAGGUCUGUCUAGUCAAGGCUAUGGUUUUUCCUGUGGUCAUGUUUGGAUGUGAGAGUUGGACUAUAAAGAAAACUGAGCGUCGAAGAAUUGAUGCUUUUGAACUGUGGUGUUGGAGAAGAAUCUUGAGAGUCCCUUGGACUGCAAGGAGAUCCAACCAGUCCAUUCUAAAGGAAAUCAGUCCUGGGUGUUCAUUGGAAGGACUGAUGCUGAAGCUGAAACUCCAAUACUUAUGGACAGGGAGGCCUGGUGUGCUGUGGUUCAUGGGGUUGCAAAGAGUUUGA
rnacentral:lncRNA from 1 species